AGUCUCCUUUGUAUUUCCCAGCUACCCAGUUUCUGCUUCCACUGCAUGCUUUUGCCUUUGUGUGAGUGCCGGCCCACACCUAACUCUUUGUCCCAGACCUGUGAUGGCAGCAUUGCUGUCCUGCAGUGACAUGAGUGACAAAAUCUGCUGAUUCUUUCAUUCCAGCUUGUUCUGAUGACUGUGCAUGUUGAACAAUGCUACAGACUGCAGAAGGAACGAUGUCUGUUUUCCAAAAUGUCCCUAUCAUAUGGAUUCUUUAACAUCUAGGAAAAAACUUCCACGGGUGGUCAAAAGACUCUCUUGUUUUGGCCAGCUUACGAUGCCCUGUCAGCCCUGACUACUUUACCUCAAGCAAUCCCAUUGAGGUAAAUGGAACUAAAUAAGGAGAAGAUGCUACCCAAGGCAUUGGCUGAAUGAUCCUUGUGGAAGACAGACUUCUAUUUAUCCAUGGAUGGUGUACAGACUGGAUUGUAACAAAAUUAUAUUUCACCAAGAUGAUGACAGAGAUCCUAUGAGGCCUUCCCAACACUUACACUGGCAGAGUGGAGAGAAGAGGGAACCAUAGUGCAAGGAUAUGAAGAGUCACUGAGGGCACGGGAGGGAGGGAAGGUCCUUCCCAAGCCAGGUCCUUUGCCAGAGCCAGAUGUGCAUACCAUGUUUAACUGCAGUUUGGGAAAAAAAGAAACAGCAAGGAAAUCCUAUCUACUUUAAUGUGUUUUGGGAAGAUGAUGGGACAGAUGCAAGUAGCAGAGUAUCUCAGACUUACCUAAUUACAGACUUUGUAUACAAACCAAAAGUUAAAUGUGAUUAAAAUGUACACACACAAAAAUGUUGUAAUUGUAUGAAGGUUAUCAGGCAAAUUUAUUUAGACUGUGUCCCUUAACACAAGGGUUUGUUUUUCUGGAAAACUGCGCUUCAUCAAAAAUGCCAACGUUGCCGAACUAGAGUUGAACUUUGAAACUGUGACCUGUCACAAGGAGACUUCCCGUGUGACCUUGGGGAGAUCUCUUCACCUACCUGUGCCUCAAUCCUCCAUCGUCUGGAACAAUAAAUAAGUAAAUAACUAAGAGCAGGAAGAGGGAAUAACCUUUCUUCUGCCGUUUUGCACCUGCCUUGUCUAUUUAGAUUGCAAGCGGUUCAGGGAGGGGAUUAAAUACCCUGUGCUUUUAACACUGCGAACAAAAUGAAGCCUGAUCUAAAAGGGGGCCUAGGAGAGCUGUUGUAAGAUGUGGUACAUGGUCCAGUCUGCCUUUAAAGGCUUUAAGAUCUUGCAAAUAGGGAAGUGGCAUUUUCCUCCCCAUUUAUUACAAAUGCUACUAUGAUAAUUGAUUGUUGAAUGCUCAUAAGGAGAGAGAAGGAUCCUGUCCAAAGAAGACAUAAUGCAGCAGCGAAUGUUCCUCCCAACAGGCGCUGGUGGGACAAGCACAGCCCCUUGGUUCUGGUUCAGAAAUGAAAAUACCUUACUCUGAUCCUUCCCUAACCUCUCCUGUACGUUUUCUUCUCCCCUCCCCCUUAUUUUCUUGAAGUUCAGCUGUGCAUGUUCCUGUUUUGAUUACACAGGAUAGACUUUCUUACCCUUACAUUUCAUUGUGUAAUUAUUAUUUACCUCUAGCUCCCAUUUCAGCUGUAGUUACCAAAGUCUUGAAUUUAUUUGCUUAUAGCAAGUCGCUACCUGAAAUGCCAUGUGGAUGGCUUAACUCAUUCCUUUCCCUCCAGGGGACCCUUUGCAAUGUCAAACAAUGUAAAGCAGCAAAGUAGGUCAUGGUUAGAUAGUCACUUAAAGCCAGCAUGAAUCUGUACUGCUGCCCAGAAAAGCAGCUUUUACCCUUUCCUCACCACUUGUGCUCACCACCUCUCUCAUGCUGGCACCAGCGUUUGUUUGGCUGCUUGGUGAGCCAGAGGGAAUUAAUCCAGUUAUUACUAGCCUGGCAAAAUAGAUGGCAAAAAAAUCAAUAAAACCUUAAACUGGCCACAACAACAGAAAAAAAGGUAACCACAGACUUACACGGCAAGGGCUGGGCUCUCUGCCUAGUCACGUUUAACCCAGUGACUUAUUGGGGAGGACUCUGGAAUCUACCGUUCUGUUUUCCCCCUUGUGAGAGAGAGUUAAUCAUGUAUGACAAGAAACCUAAAGCUUUCUUUUCUUCCCUAGUGAAACUAAAUGUGUACAAUUCAGUAUUUUGCCUCUACUUUCUUCCUUUACAGCCAGAAAGAAGUAAUGUUACGGCAUUAGGAGAAAAUAUUCUUUGCUAUUCUUUCUUAUUUUGCAUGGGUUGGUCCCGCAGGAAUUUAAACAAAUCACUUCCUUCUUCCUUCGCUCAGCAACAGUGGCAAAUCGUAUACCUGAAUUUUCAGUUGAUCUGUUCCAUAGGUCAGAGAAAAGGUGUGUCGUAUCAUCUGGUCUUUACUGUUACUUAUGGUGACGGAUGUGCUUAUUACUUUAACAAGGCACAAAACUCCAUUCACGCUCCAGGGGCUCAUUCCCGAGGUCCUCCAUACUACCGUUUUAAAGUGAUGCUCUACUGGGACAUGGCGAAAUAGUCAGAGAGAGUGUGAUACGGCUGGGGCCGAAGCAGACGGAGGAAGAGCGGUUGUGGCUCUGCAUCAGGCUACACUCCUCCUUCCCGCCAAAGCAUGCAUCCGCGUGUGACUCCAGGCGUGCCAUUGUCCCAUCGGGAUUUGUUCAGCCACAAAACACCCAGCCGAAGUCAGCUGCAGGGCAAAAAUCAGAAAGCAUGAAAAUCAGAGACCACAACCUGAGCGACCUUGCCCCGGAAGAAGGUCACGUAAAAAUUCUUUUUGCGCAGCUUCUUGCAGCGAUUCCUCUGCGCGUUCCUUCCAGCCCAGUCUCCGGCCCUGUGGAGCACCGACGACGCUUCCCCACCUCGCUAGCCGAUUG